AGAAUCAACGCUGGCGGCGUGCCUAACACAUGCAAGUCGAACGAGAAAGUGGAGCAAUCCACGAGUAAAGUGGCGCACGGGUGAGUAACACGUGACUAACCUACCCUUGAGUGGGGAAUAACCUCGGGAAACCGGGGCUAAUACCGCAUAACACCUACGGGUCAAAGGAGCAAUUCGCUUAAGGAGGGGGUCGCGGCAGAUUAGUUAGUUGGCGGGGUAAUGGCCCACCAAGACGGUGAUCUGUAUCC
rnacentral:rRNA from 1 species